UGAGCGCAAGGGAGUGCAGCCAACAAAUACAUUCAGGUGUGUUUGACUUAACACAGAGAUGCGCAGACAGCACGUGGUAUGACAUCAAGUACCGCAAGAGUUUGGGAAAGCCCCGGAAAAGGUUUGAACUCGCGGUACUUGAUGUCACGAUCGGUUUGCGCGUAUAUCAGCAUGAAGUCAAACACAUCUGAGAGAUAUGUGGGCUGCCUGCCCUGCACUCAACGUUGCGAUCAUUCAGUAGAGUGUAACCUCUUGUAGAACGAUCACAGAACGAUUUUUUGUUCUUUUCCAACUCGAUUUUUAACUCCCUAAACCAGUAGGAUGUUCCAACGGGUGAAGCAACAGUGCUGACGGCAGUUUCAGUGUCAAGUUUUCAUGCCAUGACCACUGGGGCGGAAACCAUUAUGACAUUGCCUUGGACAUCAAACUAAACCAUCUCAUUCUGGCUUUUGAGGUGGACUCUAACCUCGAAAUCUCAGAAGGACAGGUCUAAGACAGAAUUCUGGCUUGAUGUUUGGUCCACCUGUUAGCUGGCUCUGGUGCUUGGUAGUCUUCUCAAACCUCUGAAUCAAGACCACCAUGAGAGGCCUUCUGAAGACCAUCAUUACGCUUCAGAUCCAGUUGUCUUUACUAUGAGAUAGAACUGAACUGGAGUCUGUGAACUAAUGCUGUGUUCGAGACAACUUGGAUGUUGGAUAUUAUUGACCUCAAACCCGUAAGAAGUCUGGAACAGCAAACAAAGUUGAGUAUCCGACCUCUCAACUUGGGACAGAUCCAUCAACACCGACCUCAACGAGAUGCAUCAUUUGACAUUGCAGACAAGAUCCUUUCUCUUUUUAAUGCAGAACUUAAGGAUGAACCACCCUGAUCUACUAAGAUGCACAGAUUCAACUCUGGCCCAGCAUCAUCCCCACACCUCAUCUGCCAUCAGUUUAAUUUAAUGUCUGUCAAUUGCAAAUGCUAUUUAUUUCAGUUAUAUUACAACUUAAUGUUAACUUUAA